rnacentral:misc_RNA from 1 species
AAGUCGUAACAAGGUUUCCGUAGGUGAACCUGCGGAAGGAUCAUUAUUGAAUGUAACUUGCAAAAGGUUGAAGCUGACUCUUUGGAGUAUGUGCUCACCUUUUGUAUUUACUACUUUUCCACUUGUGAACCUUUGUAGAUGCAUGAAUGAAAAUAAAAAUAAUAAAAAAAGCUCAUCUGAAAAUGGUGGUUAGAGAGAUUUGUUCUAAUAGGGCAUUCUCUUGCUUUUAUUAUUAUUAGUAGUAGUUCAUCAUCUAUGUUAUAUUUACCCUUAAUUGAAUGUUAAUGAAUGUCAUUUUUACUGGUCUUUUUUGACCUUUAAACUUAAAUACAACUUUCAGCAACGGAUCUCUUGGCUCUC